ensembl:lncRNA
CACCAUAGCAAAGGGACAUGUUAGCUACACCCGAUGGCGGGGCACCGACGUGGGAUGGGCCAGGCCUGGCCAUGCCUGCGGGGGGCUGCGGCUCUCCCCCCCCCCCCGGUGCAGCCCACCCCUCCAGCCCCUUAUUGCAGCGGCUGCGCCCGUGGGGAGCGGCUGCCCCGGAGCCCCCUGCUCUGGCUAUUGCUGGGCAGCGAGGCGGCAGCGAGGCGGCAGCCAGCGGGGCUGGAGGAUGGGGCAGACCUGCCCCCCGGCGUUGGCACCCGCUGGCGGGCCCCAAGCGAUGGGGCUGGGAGACCCUUCAGCGCUGUUUGGGGGGGGGGGGUACCCGCAGCUCUUCCCGUGACUCCCUCCUCCCCGCAGCUUCCAAAUAUCCCUGCCCCAGCUCUCCACCCCUGCCGGGCUUGCUUGCGUGGCAGGGUUGGUGCUCAUGCUGGAGGAGACUAACAGGCAGAGCAGGGACAAAUGGACAGGCCGAGCAGCCGUCCGCACCCUCCUGGCUGCCCAGCGCCCCCUGCUCUCCCAGGGCCUCCCCAGCACCCGCUGCCCGAAGACGCUGGGGACCAGUAAGGCCCAGCUCCAGCCGCUGGGGCUGCUUGAGCCCCGCUGGCUGCGUGCCACCGCGGGGCAGCCAGACGGGCCCCGUGCCAGCCCCGCUGCGAGCCCCCCACCUGCCCCGCUCAGGUCCGCGACGCGCCGAGCUGCUGGCAGCCGUCCGCAAGCAAAGGGCAGAGCGUGGCCGUGGGGCCCGGCUGCCAGGGCCGCAGAGGAGCCGCCCGNNNNNNNNNNNNNNNNNNNNNNNNNGGCCGUCCCCGCGGCAUGGCCCCGGCCGGCGGCGCUGCCCUUGUGCCCGCGCUCGCUGGCUCUCCUCCAUCCCCAUGGCCACCACAGGCGUCCGCGGAGAUUUUGGGCACCAAAACCACGCGCAGGAAGGGCCCUGCCCAGCUUCCCAGCGCCCGCGAAUGGAUCGGCGUCCCCUCGGCUCUCAUCGCGGCACCCCAGCCAGCCCGGUCCCAGGGCAGAUGCGGUGGCCAGACUCGCGCAGCUCCGUCGGCACAGCCAGGCAGCCACCAAGUCCCAGCGCCCUCGGCAGACCCGGUCCGGGCGGAGGGCAGCAACAAGAGAUUAAGGACUCGGCUGCCGACCCUUCCCGCGAGCGCUCAGCACCGCCUGCCCGCUCGCCACGCGGCUCACGGCUGCAGCAGAUACUUCUCUUCAUUCCUCGUCUCGUCCGUGUCGGAGGAUGGGCUCUUCUUCGGGCAGGACGGGGUCCUGCAGGCCUUGCAGAGGAUGAGGAACAGGAUGAGGAUGAGCAACGCGAUGAUGCAGUUAAAAGAAAUAGCGACGACUGCUCCGGUGGAGAGAGCCGCCCCCAUCGCCGCUGCCCGGCGGGGCAGCCCUGCUCCACGGGCAAACGCCGGGCCCCCAGCCAGCCCCCGGCCUCAGCCCGAUACUCCGGAUGCCGGCGCAGCGAUGGAGCGCGCAGCGUCUGCCCGCAGGCAUUGGCGGGGGGCGAUGGGGAUGGCCGCAGCUCCCGCCGGCCCCGGCUGCAGUCCCAGCAGCGGGGCAGCCCCCCAGUGCUCCUGCCUCCAGCCUGGGCCCCUGCUCCGGGGAGGGGAAGGCAGAACGGCUCUUCGGCACGUGCCACACAGAUCGCAGCCCAGCGGAUGAGCAGGGCCACACUGGCAGCAGGGUGGUGGCGGCCGAAUUGCGGCUUAGCCGUGCAGAGCUGCCACCUCGGCCGUCGCCUCCCAGCGAUGCUUGCAGCUGAAAAGGACCCAACGGCCAGGCCUCAGCAUUCCCUCCUCCGGCAGCGCCGCGGGGACGUCGGGAUGCUGCUCCUCCCUCAUGCACCUGGAAGGGAGAAAGUCACUGUCACCACCGGGAUGGGGGGGGGCAGGUGCCCAAGCCCCUCGGGGCAGCCCGCAGACGGAGCUGCCAGCAGCCUUUUCUCCUGCCUCCGGAGCAGGGAGCUGCCAACUGCCCGCAAACCCCCCGUCGAGGGGUUCGGAGUCCCCG